GUAGGGAAUAUUGGGCAAUGGUCGGAAGACUGACCCAGCCAUGCCGCGUGCAGGAAGACGGCCCUCUGGGUUGUAAACUGCUUUUAUCUGGGAAGAAAAAGGCCAUGCGUGGCAAAUUGCCGGUACCAGAUGAAUAAGCACCGGCUAACUCCGUGCCAGCAGCCGCGGUAAUACGGAGGGUGCGAGCGUUGUCCGGAUUUACUGGGUUUAAAGGGUGCGUAGGCGGCUGAUUAAGUCAGCGGUGAAAGACUUCGGCUUAACCGGAGCAGUGCCGUUGAUACUGGUUGGCUUGAGUGUCGGAGGGGUACAUGGAAUUGAUGGUGUAGCGGUGAAAUGCAUAGAUACCAUCAGGAACACCGAUAGCGAAGGCAUUGUACUGGCCGACAACUGACGCUGAUGCACGAAAGUGUGGGGAUCGAACAGGAUUAGAUACCCGGGUAGUCC
rnacentral:rRNA from 1 species